rnacentral:lncRNA from 1 species
GGACCUAAAGUUUGUAAUGUCUUUGAUACACACCACUGUAUGGCUGCUUUAUACAUUCUUUGGAACACACAGAUAUAUAUGUCAAACAACCAUAUAAGCUGUUAUUCCCACCAGGGCUGCAAUGUGAUACCCAGGGUGGAUAUCUCAAUAUCUCUUAUUUGGUCUGUGGAGAUAUGCAUGCCAUUGCUCAGUGAAACCAAGUAUAGUGGUUUUAUAUACAAAACUGCUGGGCUAAAGCAAUAUUGGGGCAGGCAGGUACACAAUCAUAACAUUUUUUUAGAUUUUAUAUGCAGGGACAGCUUAAGUUAUUUUGCCACCUGAGGCAAAGCAGAAGAUAGUGCUACUUUCCCGUUCAAUGUAUGGAAGCUGAUCAGAUUGGUGCUGCCACAGCACCUGCGGGCAACAGGCAAGCUUAGAGGGCACAAGCCCAGACCACAUGGCACACACAGCUCUGUACUCCAAGAUCUUGUCAUCCCUCAGUAGCUGCUGCCUGAGGCACCUGAAUCACUCUACCUAAUGGAAGGAUUUGUAUGAGAAGCCUAUGGGUUAUGUUUCAUAAGAAGGGUACAGGGUGAGAGUGGAAAACUUCCAUUUCCCAAACAUAACCCUGAGCUCUACUGCAUUAGAACAGAUUUGAUUUUAGCUUCAUGCCUAUAGGCUUAAAUACUCAUGAACUAAAUAAGAACAUAGUUCAAGCAGAAUAGAAGAAAGUGUCGUGGCAAUAAGCCAGCACACCUGCUACCUCUGAUUCAAAAUCUACUUACCCUGGGAAUAAGGCACAAUGAAUUCGAUAGAACUUACUUCUGAGUAGACAUGGCUGUUAUCAAAGCUGAAUUCCAUCUUUCACUUGAUUGUCUUCCAAGGCACAGCCUUGAUCUGUUUCCUUAUUGAGAUCAAGUUCCUGGUUUUUCCGAAGAAAGCAAACUUCUGAAAUCAAACAUCCAUUGGUAUUGAGAGGAUUCUAACUUUGAAGUGACUUCUCAUAUAUAAUUGUGGGGUGUGGUUUCUGUCCUAUAAGCCAGAUCAGUGACAGAGUUGACCCUUGCUUGCUUGACCCAACAUAGUUACUCUUAAUGGAAUAAAUGUAACACCCUCUCCAGUUUUGAUGUAACACAAAUUAAGCACAUUGAAAUCAAGAUAACUCUAGACUAGUAAUUCACCAUUUGAAACACAGUAAGAAAUUACUUAGGAGCUGCAUAAUUUAUGUUGAUCAGUUUUCAAAUAUAUCCUUUUUCAUAAUACAAAAUGAAGCAUAACUAAUAUGAAGACAAUCCACAUGACUGAACAUAAGUGAUAUUGACUGUAAUAAUAAUGUACAGCAAUAGGAAACUGCCCUGGUGCAUAUCUGUUCUAUUUUCCCACCAGAUGCUUUAGUUUUUUCCAACCAAGUUUUGUCUAGCAUCGGUUCCAUCAAACAAAAAAGUUUCCAUACACCUGCAUAACUGAAGAGUUGAUAUCAAGGUUGUAAUGCCAUUAGGCAGGGUGAAGUGAUUCACCUCCUGGCAUUAGAUAGGGUUGAAAAUAAAGGGCAGCAAAUAUCAGUUGUGCAACAUCAGGCACACACAUGCUAGUGCCAUUUUGAUCUUCCAACUCCCACACUGCAAUCCAGUGCAUAUCUACUCAGACGUAAGCUGCACUGAUUUCAAUGGGACCAUCCCAUGCUUGCUAACUGAUGCUUGCUAGAGUUAUAGUUCAGCAGCAUCUGGAGGGCUAAACGUUCCCCACAUCUGGGCAAGAGGUUUUCUAGCCCUGUACUAGCUUAGUAAGUAAAGCUAUGUUAUGUGGGAUGAAGCAUUUUGUCUUGGUACAGUAAUAAACCCAUCCUGUUUUGUUGUUUUUUGUAAAAUGCCGAUUCCCUUGUAAGUUUUGGGGACUCCUAGAAUAUCUGUUGCAGAGCAGGAUUUAGAGUCAGCUUUCAGAGCCUCUUAAGUUAUUAAAUUCUAGGAUACAAAGGCAGACACAGAGCAAGCCACUAGGAGGCAUCUGAUUUUAAAAAUAGCAGCCCCUUCUAGGAAACUGAUAGCCAGCUAUGAUAUCCAAAUAACCUAACAUCCAUAUUUGAAAUAUUUUUAAAGUCCUGGCAUAUCCACCCACAGAGCACCAAUGAUCUCUUCCGUAGUUUGAGUACAGGUAGUGGGAAAUGUUGCUACUCUAUUCGCACAUUGCUUGUUUCCUUUUGGCAUUUAGAGUUCUGUAGUUGUAGCUAUUAAAAUCCCAACUAUGCAAUUCUAAAUCACUGCCCUGGCUUUUGUUAGUUCUUUCCGCUUUAUAUUUUCUACUGAUGAACUUUGAAAGUCACUAAUAGCAACCUCAUCAUGAUCAUUUUUCCCUUUGGAGAAUUUAAUACAAACAAGCAUGCUAGUGCAGGGGACCAGGCUGGUGGUCAUAGGGAUGGAGGGCUCUGCGUUUUCUUCUCAGAGGCUCCUGUUCUAAGCCCAUUGAGAAAACCCAGUUUCACCCUAUAACCUACUCAAAGCUCUGGGAACAGUUCAAUUUAGAAAACGAAUAAAUGCAAUUUGCCUAUUUCCCAAAGAAAACAGGCAUAAUCAUGCAAGCACAAGUUGUCAUUGGGGCUAGCCUGGAAAAUGUGCAUAUGUGGCACAUUCUGGCAAUGUCUGAGUAGCUGCUCACUUGGUGAUGCCAUAGCUUUGACUACACACAUCAGCAAAUACUACCAUUCUGUCUGUGAGGAGACAGGUCCCUAUGGCAGUUGCCUUUCAGACCUGAACAUCUGAAAUCCGCUUUAAUCCAAAGGCACCUCUGAUGGUGGAGAGAGAGAUGAGACUCCCGAUAAUGCUUACCAGAAUUGGGAAGCAGUUACACAUGUGUUCAAUUGUCCAUUCUAAUCUAUCUGAUUUUAAAGCAUUUAAUUGCAUCUGUAAUCACAUCCGUAAUGACAAAUUCAGCCUGUGUGUGUGUGUGUGUGUGUGAAGGCUGUUGAGUUAUAACAGCUACAGUAGUGUAAUAUCAGCAAGAAUAGAAAAGUCGGCCCCAUGUGGUAAAUCCUCUGGCCUUGGUGUUUUUGAGCUCCUGCAGAACACAGUUGAACACCCAUAAAAGCCAUACUUUUGCUUUUCAUGGCAGCUACCCAAUAGGCUACCUUGUCAAGAAAGGACUCAGAGAUGUUGGAAGUUCCCUGAGGAGUAAUUAGGUUUCCCCAAGCAGUCUUUUCCCCAGCUUUCAUUCACUGAUCAGAUCCUUCCCAGCAAUGACACUUUUUUUUAAUAUAACAACAACAACAGCAAAAGAAGAACCUGCCUCAUUAUGCUUGACAGAGCAGAUACUAACUUAUUCUGAAGCAGAAAUGAUCGUAACAAAACUGAUGGGAAAUUGCAAACAUGUAAAAGUGUGUGUGUGUGUGUGUGUGUGUGUGUGUGUGUGUGUAAGACACAUAAAUCAAAAUGUACAAAGACAUUUUAAUGCCCUUUUAAAAAGCAUAAAUUUCCUUUUAGAGUCCCCGUCUGUUACAGAAGCCUAUUAUCUGAUGACAGGUAUGAUGAUUAACAUAAUAGACACUAGUAAAAUUUUCUCCAACUUCUUUGAAAAUGUUAACGUACAGCUUCAAGCAAAAUGUGUUUUUUUAAAAACUGGAUUUUGUUUCUGGUAUGGGACCAUUUGCCCAAAUGAAGUUAACAGAUUUGUAUCUAAACCAUCUGUUGGUGCAAACGCAUUAGAAUGUGAAGUCACGUAUAGGAAGCCUCAGAGACAUCUUCUGACUGCUAUACAUAAAAGAAAAAGAAAAAGGAUGCUCUGUCUUUCCCCUCUUCUGUCUAAGGUCCAGCUCACCAGAGAGCCAAUUCAGACCAAUUACCUUGUCUUUGUCAACAAAAAUACUCUAGUUUCCAGAGUUCUCUGGGCAUAGAGGUUAAGGUCCCAGAAAGACAAAAUAAUAAACAAAUUCAUUUCAAGAAUCAGAGUUGUGUGCUUGGCUGGGAGGAUAUGUUUGAGAAAGGUUAUUUCCUUUUAGAUAAACCUCCACAGGGAAUUACACUCACAGCAACAUCCACUUUUGCUUUCUUUUUAAAUGCAAAAUCCAAAUGGAACACUCU